rnacentral:rRNA from 1 species
UUCAAUACUACUUUUAAACGGUAGUGUGCACUUUUCUCUUAGUAAGACAUCGUGAUCCAUUAGAAAUUGAUACAUACAAAAUGUAUAUUAAAUCAUCAAUAGGCCAAUAUGAAGUUUAUUCGGAACAAAUGGCAUAAUCUUUUAACGGUUGUGUGUAUUGUCUGGUAAGCAUAUUGUGUUUUACCUGUAAUGAUUGUCUGAUGGAUUUUAAAGAUUAUAUUAUUAAUGUUACGGCAUUACAUAAAUUUUAUUAUUUAUGAUUAUACAAUAUAUAUCUGAUCAACGAUGGUUAAAUUUGGGAUACCUUUUGGACCCGUCUUGAAACACGGACCAAGGAGUCUAUCUAGUAUGCAAGUAAAUGGAUAAUUAUGAAAUCUAUUUGCAUAAGAAACUUGACUUGUUUUUGGGAUUACGAUUUAAUUAUUUUUUAUUAAAUAUUAUUUCUUCCAUCCCGGAGUAUUUUCAUCAACAUAUGUUAUUUUAUUAUAGCAUAUGGAAAGUAUAUCAUGAGCACACUGGAUACGACCCGAAAGAUGGUGAACUAUGCCUGAUCAGGUUGAAGUCAGGGGAAACCCUGAUGGAGGACCGAAGCAGUUCUGACGUGCAAAUCG